CCUCGGCUGGCUCGCGGUGACCCUGCUGAGGGCCCGUUGGCGAGUGGGAGCCGCAGACGCUGGAAUGAGCCGGGCGAGGCCCCUGCCCCAGGGGUAGCAGAGGGAAAGCAGCACUGGCUGCCUGGAGGAGGUGACAGGCUGAUAGAUAGGAGGCUGAGGGGACUGCUUGAGUGCUCUUACAACAUGGCGGCCAGCUUCUCCCACAGUUACCCAUUCAAGAGAGACAGAGAAAGCAAGGAGAAAAGUCGUAAUGUCUUUUUAUGAUCUAACUGUGGAAGUUGUACUGCAUCAUUUCUGCAAUAUCCUACUGGUUACCCAGGUCAGCUCUCGUCCAUGUGGGAAGGGACCAUACAGGAGCAUACCAGCCAGAAGACAUAAAUCACCGUGAGCCUCUUGGAGACUGGUUGCCACACUCAUAGAAUUGCCAUCUCAUAGAAUUCGUGAGGAUGAAUGAAGUUAGUAUACAUAAAGUGCUCAGAAGAGUUUUCGAUACAUAGCACACCCUGUAUAAGUGUUGGUAUUGUUGUUGUUUCUGUGAGUUAAGAGUACAGAGUAAGCCUCCAUAACGAUUAUCUACAGUUACCAUGAACAUCAUUGCUAUUAGCUGCAAGGACCCCUUCAUGACACAGAUGGAGACACCCAGCAACUGAGAGGAUGAAGGCGUUUCACGGUUUCAUAGCAGACCACAGGCAGAGCAGGACCAACCCCGCCUUGGUUUCUUGCCUCCUGGCUAUGUACUCUCAGAAGAGCUGGAGUUUUUUUAGGAAUCUCUAUGCCCAGUGUGGGGCUUGAACUCAGAACCUCAAGAUGAAGAGUCACAUGCUCUUCCAACUGAGCCAGCCAGGUGCCCCCCCAUAUUUGCUCUUUUAUGAUUGGCUUGUUUCACUUGGCACAGUGUCUUCAGUGUUCAUCCAUGUUGUAGUGUACUAUAGAACUUCCUUCCUUUAUAAAGCUGAGCAAUUUUCCAUUGUGUGUGUAUUUCACAUUUUGUUUAUGUAUUUAUCCAUUGAUAAAUAAAUAAGCCCAUUGCCACUUGGGUUGCUUCCA